CAAGGCAAAUGUGGGUGCUGGGUUCAUUCUAUUGCGGUGCCUUCUAGAAGUGUUUCAGAAUAAUGCAUCCAGAAGCAUGCCCAAACACCCGUUUCGGGAACGUAUUCCGAAAGAAAUAGUUCUGGGUCGUAUCUUUUUUACGCAAAGCAACACGCGUGCAAAUUUAACUAGCAACUGUGCGUGCUGGGGGCAGUCUUUUGGGUGCCAUCUGGGUGUAUUUCAAUAUAGUGCAUCCAGGUGCAUUUUAGUGGGAAUGUAAAAAAACCAAACUCAAACCCGAAGGUUGCCGAUGCCCAUUUUUUUACAAUCGUCUUUUUUCGAAACUGUUCUCUUGACAAACAAAUAAUAAAGACAAAAGGGAACAUGCAAGGAAGCGAGCGGUUUUUCUUGCCUCUUGCAUUUCUCGUCAGUUGCAUUUUUAGUUCUGAAAAGUGAAGUUCGUGCCACGUGCUUUGAAAAAGUUUGUUGCUUUCUGCCACCAAUUUUACAUCAAUAUUUUCACAGAAUCGCAAAAAAUGAUUGGGCACACCAAGGACUGAACUGCGUAAAUGACAAAAGUACAUAAACAAGAAGGAAGCACCAAAGCACCGUACAGAAGGGGAGUUACUCCGAUUAAAAAUUAGUUGCGUUCUUGAAUAUUGAAAUGAAAAUAAAUAUGAAAUUGAAA